rnacentral:rRNA from 1 species
AUGAUUUUAAAUAAUUAAAUGGCUGCGGUAUAAUUGACUGUACAAAGGUAGCAUAAUCAAUUGUUUUUUAAUUAAAAACUGGAAUGAAAGAGUUAAUGAGAUAUACACUGUCUCAUAUAUAUUAAAUUAAUUUAAAUUUUUAGUUAAAAUGCUAAAAUUAAUUUAUGGGACGAUAAGACCCUAUAGAAUUUUAUAUUAAUAUUUUAAUUAUAAUUUUAUUAUUGAAUAUUAAUAUUUUGUUGGGAGGAUAGGUAAAUUUAUUAAACUUUAUUUUAAAUAUUAACUUUAAUUAAAGAAUAUAUUUUGAUCUUUUAGUAAAAAUGAAAAGAGUAAAUUACCUUAGGGAUAACAGCGUAAUAUCUUUUUAAAGAUCUUAUUGAAAAAGAUGAUUGCGACCUCGAUGUUGAAUUAAGAUAAAUUUUAAAUGAAGAAAUUUAAUAAUUAAGUCUGUUCGACUUUUAAAAUCUUACAUGAUUUGAGUUCAAAUCGACGUGAGUCAGAUUG